rnacentral:rRNA from 1 species
AUUGGACGCUGGCGGCAUGCCUUACACAUGCAAGUCGAACGGUAACAGGUCUUCGGAUGCUGACGAGUGGCGAACGGGUGAGUAAUACAUCGGAACGUGCCUAGUAGUGGGGGAUAACUACUCGAAAGAGUGGCUAAUACCGCAUGAGAUCUACGGAUGAAAGCAGGGGAUCGCAAGACCUUGUGCUACUAGAGCGGCCGAUGGCAGAUUAGGUAGUUGGUGGGAUAAAAGCUUACCAAGCCGACGAUCUGUAGCUGGUCUGAGAGGACGAUCAGCCACACUGGGACUGAGACACGGCCCAGACUCCUACGGGAGGCAGCAGUGUGGAAUUUUGGACAAUGGGCGCAAGCCUGAUCCAGCAAUGCCGCGUGCAGGAUGAAGGCCUUCGGGUUGUAAACUGCUUUUGUACGGAACGAAAAGCCCCGGGUUAAUACCCUGGGGUCAUGACGGUACCCUAAGAAUAAGCACCGGCUAACUACGUGCCAGCCGCCGCCGUAA